rnacentral:rRNA from 1 species
UACGUAGGUGGCUAGCGUUGUCCGGAUUUAUUGGGCGUAAAGAGCGUGUAGGCGGCCAGAUAGGUCUGCUGUGAAAACUCGAGGCUCAACCUCGAGAUGUCGGCGGAAACCAUUUGGCUAGAGUCCGGAAGAGGAAAGUGGAAUUCCUGGUGUAGCGGUGAAAUGCGCAGAUAUCAGGAAGAACACCCGUGGCGAAGGCGGCUUUCUGGGACGGUACUGACGCUGAGACGCGAAAGCGUGGGGAGCGAACAGG